GAUCCUGGCUCAGGAUGAACGCUAGCUACAGGCUUAACACAUGCAAGUCGAGGGGCAGCAUUUUAGUUUGCUUGCAAACUAAAGAUGGCGACCGGCGCACGGGUGAGUAACACGUAUCCAACCUGCCGAUAACUCGGGGAUAGCCUUUCGAAAGAAAGAUUAAUAUCCGAUAGUAUAUUAAAACCGCAUGGUUUUACUAUUAAAGAAUUUCGGUUAUCGAUGGGGAUGCGUUCCAUUAGUUUGUUGGCGGGGUAACGGCCCACCAAGACUACGAUGGAUAGGGGUUCUGAGAGGAAGGUCCCCCACAUUGGAACUGAGACACGGUCCAAACUCCUACGGGAGGCAGCAGUGAGGAAUAUUGGUCAAUGGACGAGAGUCUGAACCAGCCAAGUAGCGUGAAGGAUGACUGCCCUAUGGGUUGUAAACUUCUUUUAUAUGGGAAUAAAGUAUUCCACGUGUGGGAUUUUGUAUGUACCAUAUGAAUAAGGAUCGGCUAACUCCGUGCCAGCAGCCGCGGUAAUACGGAGGAUCCGAGCGUUAUCCGGAUUUAUUGGGUUUAAAGGGAGCGUAGGUGGAUUGUUAAGUCAGUUGUGAAAGUUUGCGGCUCAACCGUAAAAUUGCAGUUGAAACUGGCAGUCUUGAGUACAGUAGAGGUGGGCGGAAUUCGUGGUGUAGCGGUGAAAUGCUUAGAUAUCACGAAGAACUCCGAUUGCGAAGGCAGCUCACUAGACUGCAACUGACACUGAUGCUCGAAAGUGUGGGUAUCAAACAGGAUUAGAUACCCUGGUAGUCCACACAGUAAACGAUGAAUACUCGCUGUUUGCGAUAUACAGUAAGCGGCCAAGCGAAAGCAUUAAGUAUUCCACCUGGGGAGUACGCCGGCAACGGUGAAACUCAAAGGAAUUGACGGGGGCCCGCACAAGCGGAGGAACAUGUGGUUUAAUUCGAUGAUACGCGAGGAACCUUACCCGGGCUUAAAUUGCAUUUGAAUAAUCUGGAAACAGGUUAGCCGCAAGGCAAAUGUGAAGGUGCUGCAUGGUUGUCGUCAGCUCGUGCCGUGAGGUGUCGGCUUAAGUGCCAUAACGAGCGCAACCCUUAUCUUUAGUUACUAACAGGUCAUGCUGAGGACUCUAGAGAGACUGCCGUCGUAAGAUGUGAGGAAGGUGGGGAUGACGUCAAAUCAGCACGGCCCUUACGUCCGGGGCUACACACGUGUUACAAUGGGGGGUACAGAAGGCAGCUACCUGGCGACAGGAUGCUAAUCCCAAAAACCUCUCUCAGUUCGGAUCGAAGUCUGCAACCCGACUUCGUGAAGCUGGAUUCGCUAGUAAUCGCGCAUCAGCCAUGGCGCGGUGAAUACGUUCCCGGGCCUUGUACACACCGCCCGUCAAGCCAUGAAAGCCGGGGGUACCUGAAGUACGUAACCGCAAGGAGCGUCCUAGGGUAAAACUGGUAAUUGGGGCUAAGUCGUAACAAGGUAUCC
rnacentral:rRNA from 1 species